rnacentral:rRNA from 1 species
CACGUAGGGGGCGAGCGUUGUCCGGAUUUAUUGGGCGUAAAGAGCUCGUAGGCGGCUCGGUAAGUGAGGUGUGAAAACUCCAGGCUCAACCUGGAGACGCCACCUCAUACUGCCGUGGCUAGAGUCCGGUAGGGGAGCAUGGAAUUCCUGGUGUAGCGGUGAAAUGCGCAGAUAUCAGGAAGAACACCCGUGGCGAAAGCGGCUCUCUGGAACGGUACUGACGCUGAGACGCGAAAGCGUGGGGAGCGAACAGG